rnacentral:lncRNA from 1 species
AAAUUUUAUUUUGGCCAGGAGCUGAAGUUGGUUGUUUAGUAGUAGUAGUUUGAGUAGUGACCGAAGUAGUAGUCUGGUGUGUGGGUGCAAGAGUAGUUGGGGAAGAAUUAGGUGUGGUAAUUGGGGCAGCUGUGGUCUCUUGUGGAGCUGGGGAAGACGGUGGAGCUGGUGUAGUUGCAGAAGGUGUGGGUGGGGCAGCUGUGGUGUCUUGUGGAGCUGGGGAAUUCACUGGUGCUAAUGUAGCUACAGAAGAGCUUGUGUUAACAUUUUCUCUUGAAGAUAUGGUGGUGGCAUUCUGGGGAAGAAAAGUCACAUUUGGAAGGGUAGUAAUUUUGGUGGAAGCUUAGGCCUACAGCGUUUGUGCAGACAUUUAUAGGACUUUCUAAUGAACGGCUUCUGGUGAGCUAGCA